AGAAACCGACCUGGCUCACGCCGGUCUGAACUCAAAUCAUGUAAGGAUUUAAAGGUCGAACAGACCUUCCUUUAUAACUGCUGCAUUAUAAGGAACCCUUAAUUCAACAUCGAGGUCGCAAUCCUUCUUGUCGAUAUGGACUCUCAAAGAACAUUACGCUGUUAUCCCUAAAGUAACUUAAUCUUAUGAUCUCUAAAAGAGGAUCAUUCAUCUUCCAUAUAUUUAUGUUAUUAAUUAACUUAAGAACAGUUACUCAUUAUAUUUCCGUCGCCCCAACGCAACAAAUAUUACCUAAAAUCAAGUUAUACUAACAGUUUAUAAUAUAAGUAAUUUAUUGUAAAGCUUUAUAGGGUCUUAUCGUCCCCUUAAUUUAUUUAAGCCUUUUCACUUAAAAGUUAAAUUCAAUGAAUUGCAAUUGAGACAGUCCGCUUUUUGUCCAACCAUUCAUACAAGCCUUCAAUUAGAAGACUAAUGAUUAUGCUACCUUCGCACGGUCAAUAUACCGCGGCCCUUUAAAAUAAAUCAGUGGGCAGGCCAGACUUUACAUACCAAUCAUAUAGACAUGUUUUUGAUAAACAGGCAAAAGCAUUAUUUGCCGAGUUCCUUAAUUACAUCUUUUAUAAUAUAAAAAAUUAUUUCUCAUUUUAACUUUUAUCAUAUUACAACAUAUUUCUACUAAUAAAAUCAUUAUUACUUUUAACAUUAAAUUAAUUAAAAAAGGUGGAUAAUUAUUAUUAAAUUUUUAAUUAUACAAAUAUUUGUCAACGACUCUACAUUAACUAGAACGCUUUAUCAAUAUGGCUGUUUUUAAGCCUAAUUCAAUAAUAUCUAAAUUAUUUUUAUUAUAAUACACCUAUUAUUAGAAUAAGAAGCUUUUCCCUCCUACUCUUUACUAUUUCAAAGCUUUUAACCUCAAAAUAACUAAAUUCAAUUUAAUUCUCCACCAACCAGAUAUGAAAAAUCGACUAGCAUUUCACUACUAAAAUAAAUUUUAUAAUCUCAUUAACACGAGAACUAUAUAUUUAUAUUAACUCUUUUUCUUUCGGGACUACUUACCAUAGCAAGGUUAUUUUGACUCUUCCCUAAUACACAAGGUACAAGCAUUUAACUUUACUUUACACCAAUUAAAUUUUCAACUUAUUUCAUCUUUCCUUUACAGUACUUUAUUCUAUAGCUCUUUUUGGUUUUUUUUCGAUUCAUUCUACUAAAACAAUAAUAUUUCAAAAAUAUUUUUAUUACUUUUAGGAUUAUCCAACAAUAAUAACAUAUAUUAACAAGACUUAAUUUUCAAGAUACAUUGAUUUGCACAACGAACUCCUCAACGUAAGUGAGAUGCUUAACUAUUCAAGCUCUAUCUUGAAUUUCUAGGUACACUUUCCAGUAC
rnacentral:rRNA from 1 species